rnacentral:rRNA from 1 species
CUUUCAACAACGGAUCUCUUGGUUCUGGCAUCGAUGAAGAACGCAGCGAAAUGCGAUAAGUAAUGUGAAUUGCAGAAUUCCGUGAAUCAUCGAAUCUUUGAACGCACAUUGCGCCCCUCGGUAUUCCGGGGGGCAUGCUUGUUCGAGCGUCAUUACA